rnacentral:rRNA from 1 species
AUUGAACGCUGGCGGCAUGCCUUACACAUGCAAGUCGAACGGCAGCGGACCUUCGGGUGCCGGCGAGUGGCGCACGGGUGAGUAAUGCAUCGGAACGUACCUUUCAGUGGGGGAUAACGUAGCGAAAGUUACGCUAAUACAGCAUAUUCCGUGAGCAGGAAAGCAGGGGAUCGCAAGACCUUUCGCUGAUUGAGCGGCCGAUGUCAGAUUAGCUAGUUGGUGAGUUAAAGGCUCACCAAGGCGACGAUCUGUAGCGGGUCUGAGAGGAUGAUCCGCCACACUGGAACUGAGACACGGUCCAGACUCCUACGGGAGGCAGCAGUGGGGAAUUUUGGACAAUGGGGGCAACCCUGAUCCAGCCAUGCCGCGUGAGUGAAGAAGGCCUUCGGGUUGUAAAGCUCUUUCGGCCGGGAAGAAAUCGCACGGGCUAAUACCCUGUGUGGAUGACGGUACCGGAAUAAGAAGCACCGGCUAACUACGUGCCAGCCGCCGCAGUAAUAC